rnacentral:rRNA from 1 species
UGGGUCCGAGUUGUAAUUUGUAGAGGAUGCUUCGGGCAAGGCCGCGGUCUAAUUCGCUUGGAACAGCGAGUCACAGAGGGUGAGAGUCCCGUCUAGGCCCGUGCGCCGCGUCCAUGUGAAGCUCCUUCGACGAGUCGAGUUGUUUGGGAAUGCAGCUCCAAAUGGGUGGUAAAUUUCAUCUAAAGCUAAAUACUGGCCAGAGACCGAUAGCGCACAAGUAGAGUGAUCGAAAGAUGAAAAGCACUUUGAAAAGAGAGUUAAACAGUAUGUGAAAUUGUUGAAAGGGAAGCGCUUGCAACCAGACUUGCGGGUGACGGUUCCCCCGAUCUCCUGGUCGGGCUACUCCGUCAUCUCCAGGCCAGCAUCGGUCUGGGUGGCCGGUCAAAGACCCCGGGAAUGUAUCCACCUCCGGGUCGACUUAUAGCCCGGGGUGCAAUGCGGCCCACCUGGACCGAGGAACGCGCUCCGGCUCGGAUGCUGGCGUAAUGGUUGUAAGCGGCCCGUCUUGAAACACGGACCAAGGAGUGUAACAACUAUGCGAGUGUUUGGGUGUCAAACCCCGGCGCGCAAUGAAAGUGAACGGAGGUAAGAGCCCCCCCGGGGGUGCAUUAUCGACCGAUCCUGAUGUCUUC